rnacentral:rRNA from 1 species
UGGGGAAUAUUGGACAAUGGGCGAAAGCCUGAUCCAGCCAUGCCGCGUGAGUGAUGAAGGCCUUAGGGUUGUAAAGCUCUUUUGUCCCGGGAAGAUAAUGACGGUACCGGAAGAAUAAGCCCCGGCUAACUUCGUG